AACGAACGCUGGCGGCAGGCUUAACACAUGCAAGUCGAACGCCCCGCAAGGGGAGUGGCAGACGGGUGAGUAACACGUGGGAACGUGCCCUAAGGUUCGGAACAACUCCGGGAAACUGGAGCUAAUACCGAAUGUGUCCGUAAGGAGAAAGAUUUAUCGCCUUAGGAUCGGCCCGCGUCAGAUUAGCUAGUUGGUGGGGUAAUGGCCUACCAAGGCGACGAUCUGUAGCUGGUCUGAGAGGACGACCAGCCACACUGGGACUGAGACACGGCCCAGACUCCUACGGGAGGCAGCAGUGGGGAAUCUUGGACAAUGGGCGCAAGCCUGAUCCAGCCAUGCCGCGUGGAUGAUGAAGGCCCUAGGGUUGUAAAAUCCUUUCGUUGGGGACGAUAAUGACGGUACCCAAAGAAGAAGCUCCGGCUAACUUCGUGCCAGCAGCCGCGGUAAUAC
rnacentral:rRNA from 1 species